UUUUUUGAUUAUACAAUAGCGGAGCAAAAGAAACUAACAAGGAUUCCCCUAGUAACGGCGAGUGAAGCGGGAAGAGCUCAAAUUUGAAAUCUGGCAGUCUUCGAUUGUCCGAGUUGUAAUCUAUAGAGGCGUUUUCCGUGCCGGACCGUGUCCAAGUCUCCUGGAAAGGAGUAUCAAAGAGGGUGAUAAUCCCGUACUUAACACGACCACCGGUGCUCUGUGAUACGUCUUCUACGAGUCGAGUUGUUUGGGAAUGCAGCUCAAAAUGGGUGGUGAAUUCCAUCUAAAGCUAAAUAUUGGCGAGAGACCGAUAGCGAACAAGUACCGUGAGGGAAAGAUGAAAAGCACUUUGGAAAGAGAGUUAAACAGUACGUGAAAUUGUUGAAAGGGAAACGAUUGAAGUCAGUCGUGUUCUUUGGAUUCAGCCAGUUCUGCUGGUCUACUUCCUUGGAACGGGUCAACAUCAGUUUUGUCCGGUGGAUAAAGGUAGUAGGAAUGUGACUUCUCCGGAAGUGUUAUAGCCUAUUAUCACAUACACUGGGUGAGACUGAGGACUGCAGCUCGCCUUUAUGGCCGGUCUUCGGACACGUUCGAGCUUAGGAGUACAUAAAUCG
rnacentral:rRNA from 1 species